GGUGGGGAGUGACGUCAAGUCCUCAUGGCCCUUAUAGGUGGGGCGUACACACGUCAUACAAUGGAUGGUACAAAGGGUCGCCAACCCGCGAGGGGGAGCCAAUCCCAUAAAGCCAUUCGUAGUCCGGAUCGCAGUCUGCAACUCGACUGCGUGAAGUCGGAAUCGCUAGUAAUCGUGGAUCAGAAUGUCACGGUGAAUACGUUCCCGGGUCUU
rnacentral:rRNA from 1 species